GGCGGAGUAGCUCAGCGGUUAGAGCAGCGGCUUCAUAAGCCGCGUGUCGACGGUUCGAUUCCGUCCUCCGCUACCA
rnacentral:tRNA from 2 species